AGCUUUGCCCCAACGCCCACGAAUUACACCUUCCUUUUUCUUCCUGAAAAUCCAAGCCAAACAUUGCAAAAAUCAGCUAAAAACAUGAGAGAGAAGGUGCUAAAAUAGAUUGUAUUGUGAGAGUUACCGAGAAAGAAAGCUUUAAAGGGAAGUAUAAAGGUGAAAUUAUUGAUAGUGACAUCUUGUAAUGGUGUGGAGAGAGAGAGAGAGAGAGAGAGAGAGAGAGAGAGAGAGAGAGAGAGAGAGAGAGAGAGUCUCUGUGUGUGUGUGUGUGCGCGCGCGCGCGGGAUGAGGUUUUGCAGUUGCAGAUUGUGGAGCUCUUCCUUGAGGUUUUUCAAAGAGGUUUUAGGGGCGAAGAGGAAGAAGG
rnacentral:lncRNA from 1 species